rnacentral:rRNA from 1 species
AUUGAACGCUGGCGGAAUGCUUUACACAUGCAAGUCGAACGGCAGCACGGGUGCUUGCACCUGGUGGCGAGUGGCGAACGGGUGAGUAAUACAUCGGAACGUACCCAGUCGUGGGGGAUAACGUAGCGAAAGUUACGCUAAUACCGCAUACGUCCUGAGGGAGAAAGCGGGGGACCGUAAGGCCUCGCGCGAUUGGAGCGGCCGAUGGCGGAUUAGCUAGUUGGGGGGGUAAAGGCCUACCAAGGCGACGAGCCGUAGCGGGUCUGAGAGGACGGCCUGCCACACUGGAACUGAGACACGGUCCAGACUCCUACGGGAGGCAGCAGUGGGGAAUUUUGGACAAUGGGCGAAAGCCUGAUCCAGCCAUUCCGCGGGAGUGAAGAAGGCCUUCGGGUUGUAAAGCUCUUUCGGCAGGGAAGAAACGGCUUGGGAUAAUACCCCGGGCUAAUGACGGUACCUGAAGAAGAAGCACCGGCUAACUACGUGCCAGCCGCCGCCGUAA